rnacentral:rRNA from 1 species
UUGCACGCUGGCGGCCGGCCUCACACCUGCCAGUCGAGCGGAUGAAGGGAGCUUGCUCCUGGAUUCAGCGGCGGACGGGUGAGUAAUGCCUAGGAAUCUGCCUGGUAGUGGGGGAUAACGUCCGGAAACGGGCGCUAAUACCGCAUACGUCCUGAGGGAGAAAGUGGGGGAUCUUCGGACCUCACGCUAUCAGAUGAGCCUAGGUCGGAUUAGCUAGUUGGUGGGGUAAAGGCCUACCAAGGCGACGAUCCGUAACUGGUCUGAGAGGAUGAUCAGUCACACUGGAACUGAGACACGGUCCAGACUCCUACGGGAGGCAGCAGUGGGGAAUAUUGGACAAUGGGCGAAAGCCUGAUCCAGCCAUGCCGCGUGUGUGAAGAAGGUCUUCGGAUUGUAAAGCACUUUAAGUUGGGAGGAAGGGCAGUAAGUUAAUACCUUGCUGUUUUGACGUUACCAACAGAAUAAGCACCGGCUAACUUCGUG